GUUACCUUCUCUUUGCAUCCCUCCCCCCGACACCACCUAAACUGGGGGCUUCUUGAGGACAGAUCCUAUGUGUUUCAUUUCCAUAUCCACGGUUCCCAGAGUAGUGCCUAGUGGCUAGCUCUGUAAUGCCAUAAUGAACUAGUGAACUGAAAGGCUUACUGUGAAAGCUACAUGCCAGGCCAUGUGCUGAAGGCUGGGGCCUCCAAGACAUUCAUACAGGGAGAAUACCAUGUGAAGAUAAAGGAAGAGAUCAGAGUGAACAAGGAACACCAAAGACUGCCAGCAGAGCAUCAGGAAGAAGCAUGGAACUAUUCCCCAUCACAGCCCUCAGAAGGAACCAACCUUGCCAACACCUUGGUCUUGGACUUCUAGCCUCUAGAACUUGGAGACAAUAAAUACCUAUUGUUUAGGCCA